CAGUUUUCCUGGGUGUAGCUAGUCUGCUUUUGCAAAGGUGUAACUGUGUUUCUGACUGAUGCCUGCUAAAAUGUCAGCUUUUCAGGAAAUCUAACAAGCAUAAGUUUCUGCAUUUCAUGGUUUUACCAAGGAACAGAUUGGAUGAUGCUACUGUGUCUGUGACAAGACAGAUCCUAGCUGAAGAAAGCAGUUGCAUUUGCCAUCAAGCUGCCCUUUGAAACGCUGUGAGAAGCUGGAAGGCACAGAAUGUGGGUUGUCUCUCUGACACACUUCCAGGAGAAACUUCAUUGUUUUGAUACCACACACCUCCUGUCUGCCUGUGACAUUGCUGUGGAAGCCUUGCUGACAAGUCUGACUAAUGCACUGAGCGAAGAGGUUUCUAACUGGCUUGAGAGAGUUGGCCAUGGUAUGGAAAGAGUCAACAGCUCUACAGAUGGAGGAAGAGGCAGUUCCUGUCUGCAACUGCUUCUUGUCCAAAUUGCCUUGAAAGGUAUAGAAGGAAGAUGAAGACAUAAACCGUAGUACAGCACUGAUCUAUCUGAUAUUCUGCAAAGCCCCCAAUUGCCCCCCUGAGAGAACUCCUCCCUGUCUCACUCCGUAGAUGGUGUCAUCCACCAUAACAGAAUUAAGAUGUUCUCCUUCCAAACUGAUACCCUCUGUGACAAGUGGGAGGUGGUUGCAAGGAUGGUAUCUGUGUUACAUUCGGACCUCUCUUUGCAAGAUCGCUCCAGAGCUUUCCCUGCUAAAUUCAGGAGCCUCUUCCAAGACUUGGAGGAGGUGGGUGUGAGGUUGAAAAUCCUCGACGUGACAAGAGCCUUUGUUCUUACGCCUCAUAUAAACUGGCACAUCUUCAACUGGGGAGGGGAUUUUUGUAUUUUCCUUUCAAAAUUUUCUUAUUUCUUAAAAGAGAGAGUAAAUUCUUCUGUAGCCCAUUUCCAUUUCUGGAAGGCUAGAGCUAGGCAAAAGGGUGGAAGUUCAGAGAUUUACCAAUAUACUGAGGGGCUUCCAAGCUGAAUGAAUUCUUUUUCUCAUCUUGCAUCUUAAUUGGCAAGAAAAGAAAUCAUGCUUUGUUAAAACAGACAUUCGGAAAGAUGCGGAGUUGUACAAAAGCACGGCCAUCCAUCCCUUCCUUCUCUGCUGUAGCCAUCCCUAUCCAAAACAUCUGUAAGAACAUACAGAGAAAUGGUCCUUCAGUAUCAUCUGUGUAUCUGCUCUCUCUGCCCUACAGGAAUAGAAGAUAAUUAUACUUUCUCCCUUUGCUCUCCCUUUUUUUUCUUUUCGCUAAUAAGUGUGCCCUAACAUACAGAAUGUUUAGGGUUUUUUUGACAGAGGAAUCUAAACCUGUGACCCAGAGCUUCUGUUAGGCUUUCAAGAACUGAGCAGCUACAUGCUGUUGUCUUCCCUCCUUUGCAAAUCAAAACAUGUAUUGCACCGGAUAGAAAUGUGGGUUGCUGAAGUGGCAGUUGCUGUAGUUGGCACAGCAAGGGCAUGCAAUCCCAAGCAGGCAUCAAGUAGGCCAGCAAGAUAAG
ensembl:lncRNA